AAGUCGUAACAAGGUUUCCGUAGGUGAACCUGCGGAAGGAUCAUUCAUAAUCAAGUGUUUUUAUGGCAUUUUAUAAAAAUCCAUAUCCACCUUGUGUGCAAUGUCAUCUCACUGGAGGUCGCGGCUGUAAAAUCCGUUGGCCACCUUUGGGAUUUAUAUCUACUCAGAACUUUAGUGAUUUUGUCUGAACCAUAUUGACAAGUAGCAGACACACAUUACCAAGAAUGAAUGAGAACAAGAGAGGGAUCUUUAAUGACCAGCCCCAGGGUGCCUUAUAUAGUGGCGGGUCCCUGGUGGCUGAGUGUUCUGCUAGCUAUCUGACAGCUCAUUAUGUUAAGGGUCAAUAUGUAACACAUAUUAUGAAUACUUAAUUCAAAAUACAACUUUCAACAACGGAUCUCUUGGCUCUC
rnacentral:misc_RNA from 1 species